rnacentral:rRNA from 1 species
GCGCUAACAGAUGAGCCCAAGUCGGAUUAGCUAGUUGGUAGGGUAACGGCCUACCAAGGCUACGAUCCGUAACUGGUCUGAGAGGACGACCAGUCACACCGGAACUGAGACACGGUCCGG